rnacentral:rRNA from 1 species
GACGAACGCUGGCGGCGUGCCUAAUACAUGCAAGUCGAGCGGACGAAUCGAAAGCUUGCUUUUGAUUCGUUAGCGGCGGACGGGUGAGUAACACGUGGGCAACCUGCCCUGUAGACGGGGAUAACACCGAGAAAUCGGUGCUAAUACCGGAUAACACGAAAUGUCGCAUGACGUUUCGUUGAAAGACGGCGCAAGCUGUCGCUACAGGAUGGGCCCGCGGCGCAUUAGCUAGUUGGUGAGGUAACGGCUCACCAAGGCGACGAUGCGUAGCCGACCUGAGAGGGUGAUCGGCCACACUGGGACUGAGAUACGGCCCAGACUCCUACGGGAGGCAGCAGUAGGGAAUCUUCCGCAAUGGACGAAAGUCUGACGGAGCAACGCCGCGUGAGCGAAGAAGGCCUUCGGGUCGUAAAGCUCUGUUGUUAGGGAAGAACAAGUAACGCAGUAACUGGCGUUACCGUGACGGUACCUAACGAGAAAGCCACGGCUAACUACGUG